CCUACGGGUGGCAGCAGUGGGGAAUAUUGGACAAUGGGGGCAACCCUGAUCCAGCCAUGCCGCGUGUGUGAAGAAGGCCCUCGGGUUGUAAAGCACUUUCAGUGAGGAAGAACGCCUGGUGGUUAAUACCCAUCAGGAAAGACAUCACUCACAGAAGAAGCACCGGCUAACUCCGUGCCAGCAGCCGCGGUAAUACGGAGGGUGCGAGCGUUAAUCGGAAUUACUGGGCGUAAAGCGCGCGUAGGUGGCUUGAUAAGCCGGUUGUGAAAGCCCCGGGCUCAACCUGGGAACGGCAUCCGGAACUGUCAAGCUAGAGUGCAGGAGAGGAAGGUAGAAUUCCCGGUGUAGCGGUGAAAUGCGUAGAGAUCGGGAGGAAUACCAGUGGCGAAGGCGGCCUUCUGGACUGACACUGACACUGAGGUGCGAAAUCGUGGGUAGCAAACAGGAUUAGAUACCCGGGUAGUC
rnacentral:rRNA from 1 species